GGUUCCAUAGUGUAGUGGUUAUCACCUCUGCUUUACACGCAGAAGGUCCUGGGUUUGAGCCCCAGUGGAAUCA
rnacentral:tRNA from 1 species